AGGAGAUAUUGUGGUGGUUGUUCUGCUCAUGCCCAAGCAAUUUGAGAGCAUUGUUUAAUUGUUGGAACAUUGAUUUCAGUGAUAUUGCCAUUUUAGGCACAGAAUUCAAUGCCCAAUAGUUUUUGGCUAACCUUUGCAGUUCAAUAAAACCAGAGAGCAGAAUAGGAUUUUAACAAUAAAUAAAUAUAGUCAUUGAUCCUUGAGGGGUUAAAUGAAUAGCAGUGAGUUGCAGGUAGUUUUACAGAGCAGGGUAAAAACUUAAUAUAAGAAUGCACUGGAACUUCUCGCCCG